GGCAGUUGAGAUUCAGACCUUGACAGUUGUAACCGAUAGACUGGGCUGGGGCAACGCUGAUGAAAGGCAAAUUCCUGAGAGAAAAAUCACCCAGAUUUUUCAGUGCCUUCUCUAGCUUUCUAGAAGUUGUUAUGAGUGGACCUGACUACCUAGAGAGAGUAAUACAGAAGCUCCGUGCCGAUCACAGCUACCUCAUUACCAUGUUCCUCCAAGAUGGCCGCCCCUGAGGAGAAUCAUCAACUGGGCUUUACGGAAGAGAGAAAUCCAAACGACCAUCAGCAACAAAUGAAAGACUGAAGUUGAAAGGCAAGUCUUCAGAUUUGAAGAAAUCCAUAAUUUUUGAAUGCUGGCCGAGGUCUGUGACCUCUGACUGAAUGGUUUCCAAGCUCCGAAUUCCUAGGUGAUGUUUUCAUUUGUUCACACUUGCUGAAGAAGGGAAAGGCUCUCUGAUUUACGUGUAAGCAAAACAAUCUAAACAGUAGGAUAAAAUCAUGUUGGAAUGGAGUUCUGUGUGGAUGCUCCUUUGAACCAAAUCAGUUCCACAACUGACCCUGUCAGGGACAUAUAAAUUUAGCAUUUUGGUGUGGAUACAGAAGACGAGAUUAACACAGAUCAAGUAACAUGGAAAUAAAAAAGGAGACAAUGCUGGAUGAUACAGGGGCAGCCAACAAGAGGAGAAAACCCAAGCAUUGGCAAAUGCCUCAUUAUCCAAAGAACACUCCUUAUACUCCUGAGAAUUUGUGGCAGUCCUGGGUUAAACGAUGAAGGCUUCUUAUUCUCAUGUAGGUCUCACAGCCUCUUGUCUCCCUGAGUUUUAAACACAUUGCAUUACCUUUCCAGAGGUAAAAGAAAGCCUGAGGAGGCUUUCCCCUCUGAGUUUUUCCGUGGAUUGCUGGACUCUGAGGCCCUCAUUCCUCUUGCAGGAGGUGUGGAGCAAAACUGUGUUGAAUGAACUGUAGAUGGAAAUUCUCUCCUUCCCACCGAGGAGCCGCUGCAGGUUGCAGACUCCCAGAAUGCCACACUGAGAAGAGGAGGGCUAAAAUUCUAGAGCAGAAUCCCUGGGGCAGCCCCUGCUGAAGAAGGGUGCAUCUGUUGAGAAUCUCAUCACCGCCCCCACCCCGCCCAGCCUUCAAUUUAGAGGAAUUUCUAGUUCACGCAGAAUGAAGACAAGAUCACAUAAGGGCCUCAGAGUAUGUCAGCUGGGGUCAGACGGGAACAGGAGUCUGGCUCAACACACAUUUAUUGCACUCCUGUUUCAUGCCAAGAAAUGUACCAAAAUCUGGGACUGUGUAACACAGCAAAGGAAAAGACUCAUCUCCAGGAAGCCCCCUUGUCUAGGAAGAGAAAUUGAAUAUCAGCAUAAGGUGGUGAAAAGCUGUGAAGGAGAUGAGUGCCAGGAGUCCAUGGAGGAAGGAUUCUAGCCUGGACAGGUGAUUGUGGUGAAUAGUCAUGAGAAUCUGGGAACUGGCUCCUGCUCUGUCUAUCUUGGAGAUGCAUCUUUUGUGAGAAGCCAGGGCAAGAAUAGGGAGGCUUAGGCAAUGGGAAGUUUCUGAGUAGAUAAAGCAGAUGGCAGAGCAAAGGGACAGAGCCUGGCGAGAGGCUACUCCCUGUAGCAACCUGCCUAAGAGUGAGAGGAAAGCAAGGCAUGGCUAUGAGCACGUGUAGUCUCAGCUACUUGGGAAGCUGAGGCUGGGGGAUCACUUGAGCCCAGGAGUUCAAGACCAGCCUAGGCAACAUAGUGAGACCAUGUCUCUUUAAAAAAAAAAAAAAAAAGAAAAA
rnacentral:lncRNA from 1 species